UUACGGGCGGCUGCAGUGAGGAAUAUUGCACAAUGGGGGGAACCCUGAUGCAGCAACGCCGCGUGGAGGAUGACGCAUUUCGGUGUGUAAACUCCUUUUAUAUGUCAAGAAAAUGACGGUAGCAUAUGAAUAAGCACCGGCUAACUCCGUGCCAGCAGCCGCGGUAAUACGGAGGGUGCAAGCGUUACUCGGAAUCACUGGGCGUAAAGGACGCGUAGGCGGGCUUGUAAGUCAGGUGUGAAAUCCUACAGCUUAACUGUAGAACUGCACUUGAAACUACGAGCCUAGAGUAUGGGAGGGGGAGAUGGAAUUAGUGGUGUAGGGGUAAAAUCCGUAGAUAUCACUAGGAAUACCUAAAGCGAAGGCGAUCUCCUGGAACAUAACUGACGCUAAGGCGUGAAAGCGUGGGGAGCAAACAGGAUUAAUACCCCAGUAGUC
rnacentral:rRNA from 1 species